rnacentral:sRNA from 1 species
CGCCUAUAUACUUGGACUUCCCCUGAC